rnacentral:lncRNA from 1 species
AGACUUCCUUCCCGGGAGGUUUCGUGGGGGAAAGCACGGCGUUCGGUCGCCAGCGUUCCCAGUUGAGCGCGCGCAGCUCCUGGAAGGGAGAAGGGUGAGCAGCGGGGACCCGCCCCCUUUUAGGAGGGCGGCGGCCGUUGGAGACACCGGAAGGACUCUCGCCUCACCUCCCCCGGGAAAGGCCCGAUCCGGGAGGCGGGACAAAGGUACACGCCGGGGGUGGAGUCCGAGGUGCCAACGGAGGAGGGCGGGGCCUGUGCAGCGCCUCGAGUCCAUUUUGCGGUGGUGCGCGGCGCUUACCGCGCGAUCUUCCGAGCUGGAAGACCUGAGUCCUUGCAGCUGCAGGCUUUGCCGGAGCCUUUAGUUUUUUAUUGUCAGUUGAAACGUGGAAAAACAAAACCCUGAUUGCUUUGCCCUGGGUAAUAGUAACUCUACGGUAAACACCUGCUUGCAGGGACAGAGGUAAAUAACAAUACUUUUCCCUAUGUUAUGCUCACAUUUUAAGAAAAAGCACUCAAAUUUAUUAGACCCAAAAAUUGAAAUCUGUAGAAUAUAUAUGUUCACACCCACUUUUUUCAUUAAUGGUCUUUGUUUCAUAUUUCGUUAACUCAGAAAAAAUAGAAUCCAUGCUUGGCAGUUCUUUGUGAUGAUCAUUUAAAAUGUAUUAUAUUUAAAGAUUUAUAUUGCAAACGAAGAGAGAGGCUUCAGUAGCAUUCUUUAGAGCCCCGCCCUUUUCAUGUUUGGUCAAUUGUCAGGCUGCUGGACUUGUACAAUGGGACUUGAGUUUUUCUAUGACUUUAGAAGACUUUUUAAUAUAUGUGUUUUAAAAGUACAAUUUUAUUUACAUUGGCACUUCCUCUAGUAGAAAUGGAUGGAGCUGUUGAUUAGCUGGUUAUACUUCUUUCUUUUACAACCAAAAGAUACUGGAACAUGCUUGGCAAGCACUCUACUAGAACUGUCAAGCUGUUCUUUUCAUUCUGUAUGAUAGGUUAGCUGUUCCUCCUUGCUACAACUUUUUCCCCAGAUAUGUCCAUUUUGUACCUGGUAUUCGUAUGUAAUAUUUACUUUGACAUCCCUUGAAAUCACUUUUCAAGAGAGUCCGACUCUCUUUUAGGACCAUUCUCUAAUACUAUACGUGUGCAUUUACAGAUUUCAUUGUAUUUAUACAUACAUGUAAGUAAAUACUAUACAUUUACAUAGUUUAGCAGUUUGCAAAAUUCUAAUGCUUUAAUUUUUCCAGUAAUAGUGUGAAGAAGGUACCAUAAAGACCUGGGUAUUCAGAAGCAGAUUUUGUGCUGCUUCAUUGGAAGGCUUUUUAAAGCCUAAUUUGUAAAAAUCAUUUAGAAGAGCUUCA